CAGCAGCCGCGGUAAUACCGGCGGCCCGAGUGGCGGCCACUAUUAUUGGGCUUAAAGCGUCCGUAGCCGGGUUGGGAAGUCCUCCGGGAAAUCUGGCCGCUUAACGGUCAGAAUUCCGGGAGAUACUGCCAGCCUAGGGACCGGGAGAGGCCGAGGGUAUUCCCGGAGCAGGGGUGAAAUCCUAUAAUCCCGGGAGGACCACCUGUGGCGAAGGCGCUCGGCUGGAACGGGUCCGACGGUGAGGGACGAAGGCCAGGGGAGCAAACCGGAUUAGAUACCCGGGUAGUCCUGGCUGUAAACGAUGCGGACUUUGUGUCGGACAAGCUAUGAGCUUGUCCGGUGCCGGAGGGAAACCGUUAAGUCCGCCGCCUGGGGAGUACGGCCGCAAGGCUGAAACUUAAAGGAAUUGGCGGG
rnacentral:rRNA from 1 species